rnacentral:rRNA from 1 species
CAAUAGCGUAUAUUAAAGUUGUUGCGGUUAAAAAGCUCGUAGUUGGAUUUCUGCUGAGAACGACCGGUCCGCCCUUUGGGUGUGUAUCUGGCUCUUUCUUGGCAUCUUCUUGGUGAACGUUGCUGCACUUGACUGUGUGGAGCGCUACCCAGGACUUUUACUUUGAGGAAAUUAGAGUGUUUCAAGCAGGCAUACGCCUUGAAUACAUUAGCAUGGAAUAAUAAGAUAGGACCUCGGUUCAAUUUUGUUGGUUUCUAGAGCUGAGGUAAUGAUUAAUAGGGAUAGUUGGGGGCAUUCGUAUUUAACUGUCAGAGGUGAAAUUCUUGGAUUUGUUAAAGACGGACUACUGCGAAANGANNNGCCAAGGAUGUUUUCAUNGA